rnacentral:rRNA from 1 species
AGUGAACGCUGGCGGCGUGCCUAAUACAUGCAAGUCGAACGGAGUGGCGCACGGGUGUGUAAUAUAUAGCUAAUCUGCCCCUUGCUGGAGGACAACAGUUAGAAAUGACUGCUAAUACUCCAUAGCAAGGGAUGAGGCUAUAUCGUAUCAGCUAGUCGGUGGGGUAACGGCCUACCGAGGUGAUGACGCGUAACUGGUCUGAGGGGAUGAUCAGCAACAUUGGAAGUGAGACACGAUGCGAACACCGACCGGAAGCAGCAGUAGGGAAUAUUACGCAAUGGGCGGAGACCUGACGCGGCAACGCCGCGUGGAGGAUGACACUUUUCGGAGCGUAAACUCCUGUUGUUAAGGGAGCGGUACCUAACGAAUAAGCACCGGCUAACUCCGUGCCAGCCGCCGCGGUAAUUC